GACGAACGCUGGCGGCGUGCUUAACACAUGCAAGUCGAACGGAAAGGCCCUGCUUUUGUGGGGUGCUCGAGUGGCGAACGGGUGAGUAACACGUGAGUAACCUGCCCUUGACUUUGGGAUAACUUCAGGAAACUGGGGCUAAUACUGGAUAGGAGCUCCUGCUGCAUGGUGGGGGUUGGAAAGUUUCGGCGGUUGGGGAUGGACUCGCGGCUUAUCAGCUUGUUGGUGGGGUAGUGGCUUACCAAGGCUUUGACGGGUAGCCGGCCUGAGAGGGUGACCGGCCACAUUGGGACUGAGAUACGGCCCAGACUCCUACGGGAGGCAGCAGUGGGGAAUAUUGCACAAUGGGCGGAAGCCUGAUGCAGCAACGCCGCGUGCGGGAUGACGGCCUUCGGGUUGGAAACCGCUUUCGCCUGUGACGAAGCGUGAGUGACGGUAAUGGGUAAAGAAGCACCGGCUAACUACGUG
rnacentral:rRNA from 1 species